rnacentral:lncRNA from 1 species
AACUAGAAGCAUCAGUUGUUGCUGUAACUCACUGAUGGAGACUUCGAACCGCAGUUUGGUUAUUUUCUAUAUCAACAGAGCUGCCUUUAUGGAGUCGGACGGAUAUGUCAUUCUGUGGAAUUUUCCCGUGUAGUUGUAGUACAAACUUGCUUGCAUUUUCCUAAACUAAACUACCAAAAUGUAAACAUGACUUCACGAAGUAAAAAUACUAGGAUAUCGGUUCGUUGACAGGUGUGAUACUCUUUCUACAACUCUACGACUGAUUGUGUUAUGAGAACCAACUCACCAGGAUAUAAAAACUCUCAAGAACAACCGGUUUUGAACUCAUGUCCUCCAUAGGAGCUGCAAUGAAUUAAAGGGAGCUAAAGACAAAUCCUUUGGUUUUGUUCCGGAAGUUUACAAAGCAGUCAACCAUGAUUGCUAUAAGAACCAAAAGGAGCUUUGUCAAAUGUGAUACCCUUUAUUUGUACUAGCAUCCAACUCUAAUAAAGAAAAGAAGAAAGAACGUGUGAGAGUUGCAGAAACUUUGCCAAAUUUAUAACAAUUAUUAUUAGAAAACAUUAUUAUAAUUAUUGUUGUUGUAAUUGUUAAUGACAUUACUAAUAUUUGUAAUUGAUGUGUUAUUCCAGGAAUAUAUCAAUAUUUUCUGAUGGUCAAAUUUUUUAAAGCAUUUGAAGAAAAGACAGGCAUUAUCACCAUAACAAAAGCAAAAUGACACAAAAAUGAGAUUUUAU